UUUAUUAAAAAUGCAUUGUCUAAUGUGUGUAUGGUAUGUGUGGGCAUGCGUAUGUAUGUGUGAGUGAGCAUGCAUGUGUAUUGUAUGUAUGGUAUGUAUAAAUGUACAUGCAUGUAGCAUGUAUAUGGUAUGUGUUGUUGCAUCUAAAUAUGAGAGAUGAGUAAGAUGACAAAAUAAUUUUAGUGUCUCUUGCCAUUAAAGUCAACAUCUCUCAGUGUGGACUUAAGCAGCCUUUGAAAAAAUGUAAAUGCUUAACCUCUGUGAGGCAGGUCAUAGGGCAGAAUAUUGGCUCAUUGGCCAAAACAAUAGAGAGAAAGAGAAUGACAGCUUGUACAUAUGGGAAAUAGUCAAAGACAUGAUCCAGUUCUUUUAUCAUCCUUUCCUAUUCACUUUCAGCUAUUCUGUCUACUGUGUGUGAGUAUGUAUGUAUUCAUUUACAUAUAUGCCCAUUCAUGUAUUUAUUUUUAUUUAUUUAGUAGUUUAUUUGCUUAUCUAUUCAAUUGUAGGUUUACUUAUUCACUGAUUCAUCUGUUUAUUAAUUCAUUUAUUCAUCUAUCUAUCUAUCUAUCUAUCUAUCUAUCUAUCUAUCUAUCUAUCUAUCAUCUAUCUGCCUGCCUGCCUCUGUGUCUGUCUGUGCCUAUCUAUUUGCCUGUCUCCCUGUCUGUCUGUCUCUGCCUGUCUGCCUGUCUAUCUCUAUCUGUCUGUCUGUCUAUCUAUCUAUCUAUCUAUCUAUCUAUCUAUCUAUCUAUCUAUCUAUCCAUCUAUCUAUCUAUCUAUCUAUCUAUCUAUCUAUCUAUCUAUCUAUCUAUCUAUCUAUCUAUCUAUCUAUCUUUCUUUCUUUCUGUCUGUCUGUCUAUCUAUAUCUAUCUAUUUAUCUCUCUAUCUGUUUGUCUGUCCAUCUAUCUGUCUAUCUGUCUAUCUAUCUGUCUGUCUAUUAUCUCUCUCUCUGUCUAUCUGUCUACCUAUCUCUCUCUCUGUCUGUCUAUUUCUCUAUCUGUCUCUAUCUCUGUCUCUCUCUCUCUCUCUGGAAAAGCAGUUGAGAUAGAGAAUGAGAAGGGCAGCAUAAUAGUCGUUUAUAAUAUCCUAGAAUGAGAAGGCAAUCAGGGUCUCCAAGUCCCACUGCCUCAUUUUACAGAUGAUGA
rnacentral:lncRNA from 1 species